rnacentral:rRNA from 1 species
AUUGAACGCUGGCGGAAUGCUUUACACAUGCAAGUCGAGCGGCAGCACGGGGGCAACCCUGGUGGCGAGCGGCGAACGGGUGAGUAAUACAUCGGAACAUGCCCAGUCGUGGGGGAUAACACUUCGAAAGAAGUGCUAAUACCGCCUACGUCCUGAGGGAUAAAGCGGGUGAUCCUCGGCCCUCGCGCGAUUGGAGUGGCCGAUGUCAGAUUAGCUAGUUGGGGGGGUAAAGGCCUACCAAGGCAACGAUCUGUAGCUGGUCGGAGAGGAUGAUCAGCCACACUGGGACUGAGACACGGCCCAGACUCCUACGGGAGGAAGCAGUGGGGAAUUUUGGACAAUGGGGGCAACCCUGAUCCAGCCAUUCCGCGUGAGUGAAGAAGGCCUUCGGGUUGUAAAGCUCUUUCGGCAGGAACGAAACGGCGAGCUCUAACAUAGCUUGCUAAUGACGGUACCUGAAGAAGAAGCACCGGCUAACUACGUGCCAGCCGCCGCCGUAAGAC